GGAGACGCGACAAGAAAAUAAAAUCAAUGACUUUGAUAGAUCAUUCAUUUGACUUUUAGUAGGAAAUUCAGAUGGAGAUAUACUUUACCGAUAUUUCCAAUGUCUCACGUGAGUUGCACUAUAAACAUAUAGGUUCCGUAUAUCUCCUUUUUUUCAUUUCAAAUGAGUUAAAAGAAUACUUGCAAUUAAUCUAAUUUACACUUCUCCUAUUUAUUAAUUCUUCAACAAAUCCAUUCUACACUUCACUUCAUUUUUACAUUUCCAUUCUCUCUCUAAAUUUUCUCUAACUUCUCUCUUAAAUUUCAUACUUUUAACUCUCAUAUUUUCAUCCAAAAAGUGGUAAGUGUUUAUGUUUUAUUUUUACAAAGUUAAAAUUUUUGCUUUGUUAUUUAAAUGUAUAUGUUCUAAUAUUUG
rnacentral:lncRNA from 1 species